rnacentral:rRNA from 1 species
UACAGAGGGUGCAAGCGUUGUUCGGAAUUAUUGGGCGUAAAGCGCGUGUAGGCGGCUUUGCAAGUCGGGUGUGAAAUCCCUCAGCUCAACUGAGGAAGUGCGCCCGAAACUGCUUAGCUUGAGUGCCGGAGAGGAUGGCGGAAUUCCCCAAGUAGAGGUGAAAUUCGUAGAUAUGGGGAGGAACACCGGUGGCGAAGGCGGCCAUCUGGACUGCAACUGACACUGAACGACGAAAGCCAGGGGAGCAAACGGG